UGGGGAAUUUUGGACAAUGGGCGAAAGCCUGAUCCAGCAAUGCCGCGUGUGUGAAGAAGGCCUUCGGGUUGUAAAGCACUUUUGUCCGGAAAGAAAACGCCGUGGUUAAUACCCGUGGCGGAUGACGGUACCGGAAGAAUAAGCACCGGCUAACUACGUGCCAGCAGCCGCGGUAAUACGUAGGGUGCAAGCGUUAAUCGGAAUUACUGGGCGCAAAGCGUGCGCAGGCGGUCCGCUAAGACAGAUGUGAAAUCCCCGGGCUUAACCUGGGAACUGCAUUUGUGACUGGCGGGCUAGAGUAUGGCAGAGGGGGGUAGAAUUCCACGUGUAGCAGUGAAAUGCGUAGAGAUGUGGAGGAAUACCGAUGGCGAAGGCAGCCCCCUGGGCCAAUACUGACGCCCAUGCACGAAAGCGUGGGGAGCAAACAGG
rnacentral:rRNA from 1 species